AGAGUUUGAUCCUGGCUCAGAACGAACGCUGGCGGCAGGCUUAACACAUGCAAGUCGAACGCACCGCAAGGUGAGUGGCAGACGGGUGAGUAACGCGUGGGAACGUGCCUUCAGUUCGGGAUAACCCAGGGAAACUUGGGCUAAUACCGGAUACGUGCGAGAGCAGAAAGAUUCAUCGCUGAAGGAUCGGCCCGCGUCUGAUUAGCUAGUUGGUAGGGUAAUGGCCUACCAAGGCGACGAUCAGUAGCUGGUCUGAGAGGAUGAUCAGCCACAUUGGGACUGAGACACGGCCCAAACUCCUACGGGAGGCAGCAGUGGGGAAUAUUGGACAAUGGGCGCAAGCCUGAUCCAGCCAUGCCGCGUGAGUGAUGAAGGCCUUAGGGUUGUAAAGCUCUUUCGUCCGGGACGAUAAUGACGGUACCGGAAGAAGAAGCCCCGGCUAACUUCGUGCCAGCAGCCGCGGUAAUACGAAGGGGGCUAGCGUUGUUCGGAAUCACUGGGCGUAAAGGGCGCGUAGGCGGGCCUGAUAAGUCGGGGGGUGAAAGCCUGUGGCUCAACCACAGAAUUGCCUUUCGAUACUGUCGGGCUUGAGACCGGAAGAGGUAAGUGGAACUGCGAGUGUAGAGGUGAAAUUCGUAGAUAUUCGCAAGAACACCAGUGGCGAAGGCGGCUUACUGGUCCGGUUCUGACGCUGAGGCGCGAAAGCGUGGGGAGCAAACAGGAUUAGAUACCCUAGUAGUCC
rnacentral:rRNA from 1 species